rnacentral:tRNA from 1 species
CGGGUAAAAUAGUUUAAAACAGAACGUAACACUGAAAAUGCUAAAAUGGCUGGAGCCUUUACCCAUA